rnacentral:misc_RNA from 1 species
GAACGCACAUUGCGCCUCCUGGUAAUCCAGAAGGCAUGCCUGUCUGAGCGUCAGUACAUCAUUUAAACUAUACUUUUUAAGUGCAGUUUAGUCAUGGAGGCUUGAUUCGUUCGUUCGAAUCUCCUCUGUAAAGUAUUGGCUUUAGGAUGUAAGUCUUUAGUUGUGACUAUGUAUUCAACUUGAAGGACCUGCAUUUGUAUGUCGUUUGUUUUCUUGGGCUUGCCCUCUAAACAUUGACCUCAGAUCAGGUAGGGAUACCCGCUGAACUUAAG